CGGCGUGCCUAACACAUGCAAGUCGUACGAGAAAGUUGGCUUCGGCCGAUGAGUACAGUGGCGCACGGGUGAGUAACGCGUGGAUAAUCUGCCCUUAAGUGUGGAAUAACGUACCGAAAGGUGCGCUAAUACCGCAUAAUGCCUGGCAACAUAAGUUGUCCGGCCAAAGAAGGCCUCUGCUUGCAAGCUUUCGCUAAAGGAUGAGUCCGCGUACCAUUAGCUAGUUGGUGGGGUAACGGCCUACCAAGGCGACGAUGGUUAGCUGGUCUGAGAGGAUGAUCAGCCACACUGGAACUGAGACACGGUCCAGACUCCUACGGGAGGCAGCAGUGAGGAAUAUUGCGCAAUGGGGGCAACCCUGACGCAGCAACGCCGCGUGAGUGAGGAAGGUUUUCGGACUGUAAAGCUCUGUCGAGCGGGAAGAAGUGUACCAUGGCUAAUAUCCAUGAUAUUUGGCGGUACCGCUAGAGGAAGCACCGGCUAACUCCGUG
rnacentral:rRNA from 1 species